CCUUCAACAAGGGCAUAACCCGUUGAAAGACGGACUAAUUCCCUAUGACACAGGGGUCCCGCGAUGGGGAUAUUUGUUAAAGAUUAAUCGGUUGGAGAUGGGCAUGCGUUCCAUUAGCUUGUUGGCGGGGUAACGGCCACCAAGGCAACGAUGGAUAGGGGAACUGAGAGGUUUAUCCCCCACACUGGUACUGAGACACGGACCAGACUCCUACGGGAGGCAGCAGUGAGGAAUAUUGGUCAAUGGGCGCAAGCCUGAACCAGCCACGUCCGCGUGAAGGAAGACGGCCCUACGGGUUGUAAACUUCUUUGCAAGGGAAUAAAGUUGGCCACGCGUGGCCUUUUGCAUGUACCUUGCGAAUAAGGAUCGGCUAAAACUCCGUGCCAGCAGCCGC
rnacentral:rRNA from 1 species